rnacentral:tRNA from 1 species
GGCGGUGUAGCUCAGUUGGUUAGAGCAUGCGGCUCAUAUCCGCAGAGUCCGGGGUUCAAAUCCCUGCACCGCCACCA